UGCUACGGCCAUGCCACCCUGAAUGGGCCCAAUCUCGUCUGAUCUAGGAAGCUAAGCAGGGUCAGGCCUGGUUAGUACUUGGAUGGGAGACCGCCUAGGAUAUACCAGGUGCUGUAGGUG
rnacentral:rRNA from 1 species